CACACGGCUCCAUUUGGAACCACACACAGUCACUGUGACAUGCAUU
rfam:Gallus gallus isolate RJF #256 breed Red Jungle fowl, inbred line TCD001 chromosome 1, whole genome shotgun sequence.